ACGGAGGAUGCGAGCGUUAUCCGGAUUUAUUGGGUUUAAAGGGUGCGUAGGCGGAUUGAUAAGUCAGUGGUGAAAUACUGCAGCUUAACUGUAGAAUUGCCGUUGAUACUGUCAGUCUUGAGUAUGGUUAAGGUAGGCGGAAUGUGUAAUGUAGCGGUGAAAUGCUUAGAUAUUACACAGAACACCGAUUGCGAAGGCAGCUUACUGAGCCAAAACUGACGCUGAGGCACGAAAGCGUGGGGAGCGAACA
rnacentral:rRNA from 1 species